rnacentral:lncRNA from 10 species
CCACAGACAUCCUCUGCUGAAAGCGGGGUGCUGCUGCCUCCAAGGCUGAAGCACAAGUCAUUGACAGGGACCCAGGUGGCCCAGUAGCAGUCCUGCCAUGCAUUUACAAGCACUCUGAGGACAGACUACCCUACUUGUAGUUAGCAAUUGGGCUGAAGCGAGCGCGCCCUAGCUGCCUAUUUAUGGCAGCUGCCACUGAAAGCAAGCCCGCCCCCGCCCCUCCCCUUCCCCUGCUCCCGCCCCCGCCCCUCCCCCUCCCCUGCUCCCGCCCCCGCCCCCGCCCCCAGUAGAAGGGCUGCCCUAUGGCUGCUGCCUCCCACAACCAAAUCAUUUUUCUGGGAACCUGGGGAUCAUCUUGGCUCUGCCUAUCACAGCCAGUGCCUGCACGCCCUGCUCCGGCAUCCCCCUAGUGCCUGAGCACGCCAUCCUCCUGUACCCUACUCCAUUACGAUGUGAUUCCUUCGUGUUAAAACUGUGUACCUUGCCCUACUAACUUUGGAUCUGGCCAAUGGAAUAUAAGGAGAUUUGACCUGUGCUGCUGUGAUUAACAGACAUCAGAGGCAUGGUACCAUGAGGACAGAGACCUCAACUGUGUGUUCAUCAUUAAGUCUCCAGAAUUCAGCAAAAUAUAUGGCACAUAGAAGGAAGAAAAACAACAGUAACUAGAUGAAGCAAGGACCACCCUUCUGGACAACAAAGGGAGAGGAAUGAAAGUCUGACCUAGGAAAAGACGGAGUCUCGCUGUGUUGUCCAGGAUGGAGUGCAGUGGUGCUUUCUCAGCUCACUGCAACCUCUGCCUCCCAGUUCAAGCAAUUCUUCUGACUCAGCCUCCUGAGUAGCUGGGAUUACAGGCACCUGCUACCACACCAUGCUAAUUUUUGUAUUUUUAGUAGAGACGGGGUUUCUCCAUGUUGGCCUGGCUGGUCUCGAACUCCUGACCUCAGGUGAUCCACCUGCCUCGGCCUCUCAAAAUGCUAGGAUUACAGGUGUGAGCCACCACACCUGGCCAACUUAUCCUUUUUUUAACAUCUAGUUUUCUGUGAGUGUUUUCUAAUGUGCACUGUAGACGGACAUAGUGGUAUGUGAUUACUAUUCAUAGAUAAAUAAUAAUUUGUUUAUUAUUGUGUAAUAAACAUUGUGUGAUAAAGAAUUUGGCUGACCUUUGUUUCUGGUUCUUGAGAGGUAAUCUUUCAACCCAUGGAGUUUCCCAAGUGAUUGGAGUGUCUUUGUUCUUCAAGGUGGGCCCCAUAGAGCAUAUUUGAUGGUUUAUGCUAAUGUGAUGACUCAGGAUGGAAGCCGGCCAUGUUAGGAAGACCAAAGACAUGAUGAGAUGGUUGGGACUUUGAGCCAGGUGGCAUCA